rnacentral:rRNA from 1 species
GACGUAGGGCGCGAGCGUUGUCCGGAUUUAUUGGGCGUAAAGAGCUCGUAGGCGGCUUGUCGCGUCGAAUGUGAAAACUCGGGGCUCAACCCCGCGCUUGCAUUCGAUACGGGCAGGCUCGAGUUCGGUAGGGGAGACUGGAAUUCCUGGUGUAGCGGUGAAAUGCGCAGAUAUCAGGAGGAACACCGGUGGCGAAGGCGGGUCUCUGGGCCGAUACUGACGCUGAGGAGCGAAAGCCAGGGGAGCAAACGGG